GACCGCGUAGCUCAGUUGGCAGAGCAUUGGGCUAGCAUUCCAAAGGUCGUGGGUUCGAUUCCCACCGUGGUCA
rnacentral:tRNA from 1 species